rnacentral:rRNA from 1 species
AGGACGAACGCUGGCGGCGUGCUUAACACAUGCAAGUCGAGCGGAAAGGCCCUUCGGGGUACUCGAGCGGCGAACGGGUGAGUAACGACGUGAGUAAUCUGCCCCUAGCUCUGGGAUAGCUCCGGGAAACCGGGAUUAAUACCAGAUACAACCACUUUAGACAUCUCUUGUGGUGGAAAGAAUUUCGGCUAGGGAUGAACUCGCGGCCUAUCAGCUUGUUGGUGAGGUAACGGCUCACCAAGGCGACGACGGGUA